GCAGAAUUGUCAAAACCGCAUCAUGUUUACCAUUCGCAAAUUUCUUUUUUAAAUAUGCGGUUUUCAAAAAAAAAAAGUAAAUACAAAACCGCGAACGCCAAAAUUGCUGUGUAAAGUAGUGGUUUGUUGUCCAAAUCCGCACCACAUCUCAAACCUAGCGUUUUUAGAAAAAUGAACUUAUUUAUUGAAAUUUAUCUUUUAUACAAUAUAUAUUUACACUGUAUUUAGUGUCUAUUCACAACUUCAUAUAUUUAAAUAAAACCGCAGUUGUACCGUACCGCACUUCAAUUCUGCACGAACCGCAGUUGCAUCGUACUGCACUUUAAUUUCAUACUGUUUUUAUUACCAAAUCCGUUGUCGCCAUUCGAACCCUAUAUAUAUUCUUAACAUAAAACAGAAGUUUUAUUGUAAAGUCUAAACUUCACCGUCAAAACACAGCUACUUAUGUCGGUGACUCUUCUUCUAUCACCCUUACAAGAAAAAAUUACUAAAAAUACUCUCUU
rnacentral:lncRNA from 1 species